rnacentral:rRNA from 1 species
UACGUAGGGGCCUAGCGUUGUCCGGAUUUAUUGGGCGUAAAGAGCUCGUAGGCGGUUCGGUAAGUCAGGUGUGAAAUCUCGGAGCUCAACUCCGAAACUGCACUUGAUACUGCCUUGCUCGAGUACUGGAGAGGAGAUUGGAAUUUACGGUGUAGCAGUGAAAUGCGUAGAUAUCGUAAGGAAGACCAGUGGCGAAGGCGAGUCUCUGGACAUUUCCUGACGCUGAGGCACGAAAGCCAGGGGAGCAAACGGG